AGGAUGAACGCUGGCGGCGUGCCUAACACAUGCAAGUCGAACGUCCUGUCUCGCAAGAGGCAGGGAGUGGCGGACGGGUGAGUACCACGUGGGUCAUCUACCGUGAGGUGAGGAAUACCGGCGAGAAAUCGCCGACAAGACCGCAUAGGCUCGAUGCAAGUCGAGCAAAGCUCUUUCGAGAGAGGGAGCGCCACACGAGGAGCCUGCGCCCGAUUAGCUAGCUGGUGGAGUAACGGUUCACCAGGGCGACGAUCGGUAGCUGGUCUGAGAGGACGAUCAGCCACACUGGGAUUGAGAACGGCCCAGACUCCUACGGGGGCAGCAGUGAGGAAUUUCGUCAAUGGGGGCAACCCUGAACGAGCAACGCCGCGUGCAGGAAGAAGGUUUCGGAUCGUAAACUGCUUUUCUCGGGAAGAGAACGGACGGUACCCGAGGAAUCAGCCCCGGCUAACUACGUGCCAGCAGCCGC
rnacentral:rRNA from 1 species